AAGGCGAAUUGACUGACAAUUUUCCAAAUUUUCAGAAACUUUCCAUCGAUUUCGUGGAUCGAAUUAGAAAUCGAGAAAACACAUAGGAGCACAGAUGCUUGUUUCAAAAGACAAAUCGCUAAAAAAAAAUGCCAAAUGUAAGAAGAUACGGCAUUAUGGAACCUUGAUUGUUCCUUUUAAACUGAAAGCGUUUUGCUCGAAACUUUUGGUAUUUUUGGGCGAUUCGUGUCGUCAAGUAUCACGUAAAACCGCUGGCUGACAGGAACUACGGACAUAGGUAUUACAAUUAUUGCUUGCAACUCAAUCAAUUAUGGUAUGGAGUCAACGUAAUUAAUAAGGGGAAGUCGGGCAUAAUAACGAAUUUUCAAAUGUAAGGACAUGACAUCACUUUGACGUAACUCGAACAAAACGUAAUUACGUACAACGCCGUUACACGUUAAUUCGUUUAUUAAUCAAACUCGUUUAUUAAUCAAAGAGGCAAAACGUAAAAGACGCGAGAAUACGAGAAGGAAUAGUAACACGUGUAGGAGAUGGGUAGUAUGUGUGUAUGUGUAGAACGAAUGAUUAGAUAUCACCGACAGGAUUGAGAUUCGUUAUAACGGAACUAAUUAAAUUCAGAGGGUGUAGUUUUGACUCUUGACACGAUACAAAAUACAGGUAAACGCGAUUGCGAGUUCUCCAACAAAACAUAAUUAUCGAGUUCAUUUCUGUAGUGCAUUUUUGAUUUGUUCUAAAGAAUUUUCUCUGAAGCUACAAUAUUGUUUCUUUUUCAAAUUCUUGUAAUUGUGUCAGCCACACAUUAUGUAAUCUUAUUUGGAUGAUAUAAAAAGAUCGCAUUAAGAGAGCAAGCCCGAAUAUACGAUAUUACAGGAACCGCGGGUACUACGUAUUAAACGGUCAGCUGUUAAUUAGAUCACGUUGGCGUCGGGGCGUAUGAUACGUUUUGAGCAGACGUCGGUCUCAGAAUAAACCGCGUUACGUUAUUGUGCAUGUAUUUACGAAACGCCUGGCAGACUACCAAACGGCUCAAGUAUCGUCGCGUAUUAUGCAAUCGCUAUGGAAUCUUUAUGAAAGACUCGUAAUGUUUACGAAAAAUAUACUAUUAUAUUGUACUAUUAUUUUGCCAAAGCUACAGGCCAAUGAUCGCGCAAUCUGUUACGUAUCUAUGAAUAAGAACCUUCGAUAUAGACAGAAAUUGUGGCAUACUAGCUGGCCGCGACGUGAAACGUCGAAACGUUCCCUACGAUCUCAUUCUUGUCGUAAUAUAAAUUUAAAGGUCUGACGGUCGGUCUCGUCAGCGUCGAUUAACUUUGAUCUAUAAUUUGGCCAGUGCUCGGUCUUUUUCCUAUUAUAAGAGAAAGGAAUUGGAUGUUUUAUCAUCACGCAUUUACGUUUAACUACGUUUUCUUGAUUUUCGUCUUCGUCUUAAUCUACCGACAAAACAAAGUUUAAGAUUAGACAUUCAGUAUUAAAUAUGUUGCGUCUGAAAGUGCGAGCCAACAACUCAGAGACCUUCUCAUAGACAGAUGUAUACUAGGUACAAACGCACCUGUGCCUUCAGUUUGUAAAUUAAUCAUUCUUAAACCUAGUGGGAAAAUGAGAAUUAACAAAUUUGCAUCUUCGUCUACAAUUUAAACAGCUGUGCCCGAGCAGAGAUUAAAUUUAAUCGACGCCAGGGAAACCGAUCCCGGGAGUGUGAGAGAGCGGUCGAAGAAGGGAAGGAUAUAUUAUUGACGUAUGAACACCUCGAUAUAUAAUGAACUUACUUUUGGGACGCCCUACCCCUAUAAAAAAAGAAAGUACAGAUUCAUUAAUAAAGUCAUGUGAUGAGUCGUUUACAUAGGACUGCACAAAGCUGCGCGUAAAUUAUAAUCGGUAUCGUUCGUCUCCAAUUUGCGCCUUCCUUUUCGUUCUUUCUUUCUGUACAAAUUUAUUACUCGACUGUUUGCGCGAAAUUGAGUCGUUUUCAUGUUACCUUAGAAGAAAAACGUCCAAUAAUUAUUUUUUAGUUUUCAAUUUCAAGAGUAUUAGAAUCAUUUAAUAAUUUUGAUUCUUAAUAUUAAACUAACACUUUAAUAUAUUAAAGAAAUGUAAGUUCUGGGGAGAGGAAGGAAUCUUUACACAUUUACAGAUCCUAAGGCUCUUGUGAUCGAAAACUGAAAUGGAUUUUUUCUCCAAAGAUAUAUAUGUAUUAUCUGCUUUACAAUUAAAUUAUUAUAGGGACUCGACAUGAAUCUCGACAAUAUGAUCAAUUAAUCACACGUGUAUGUGUGUAAUGACACUUUACAGAGUACUUCGUUGCCCAGUUGAUAAUGCGAGGUAACAGAGGCUGAUUAGGCGACAGAUAUAAUGAUAGACAUGACGAGGAUAAAGGUAGGCAUGGAGAAACAAAGUGCGGGUGAGAAAUACAUACUUUCGCGAUUGGUGCAAUUGGUGAAAAAAAAAUCGUAUCUAACGCUAAAUAAAUCUGGAUUAAAAUCUUUCAGCUUAGAACGAGACACGAACGCAACGAAUCUUUCCGGCCGAGAAUCAUCGAAAAAUCCGGGACCGAAACAACCGAAACGAAAUUGUGGCGUCGCAACACAUCUUCACGGUAGUUGUAUAAUGCUCAUUACGAGACUCCUGGACUUACUUCCUGAAAUGAAAAACGGAACGAAAGCCAGACGUUAGAGAUAUCUCAGGAACGAUAUUAGAGGGAUUGUACGUGAUCGAAGAGUUUGAAAAUAACUAUUGUAAAAGUCUAAUAAAUUUUGGAUGCGUCGAUAUAACUAGACAAAGUGAAAAAUCUAACGAAGAAUAGCACAGGUAGACUUGGGAUUGUACAUGUAAUUUUGUCGUAUUACUUACGGAUUUGUGUACUAUCACUACUUUUAUAACUUACAACUUAAUCACAGAUACAAUCUGGGACUAUCCUGACCUAAGACGCGUCACAAUAGAGAUCUCCCUUUGAUGUCACUUACAUAACUUAUCCACGACGCGACAAGUUUAAAAAAAGAAGCGGACACUAAAGUUUGAAGAAGUGGAAAAGCAAGAUGUUCACCAGUUAUUUCGCACUAUAAGGAGGAAGAAGAAGUUGGAAGAACUAACAGGAGGAGAGAGUGGGAGGUAGCGAGUAGAGAAGACAC